ensembl:miRNA
AUAAGGCUUUAAAGUUUGCAAGGUGUUUUGCAAAUGUUAACUCAUUUGAUAAUAGAUAAUAUUCAGCUGGAGCUAUGUCUCUGUCUCUGUGCUUCUUGGUCUCUGUCUAUUUCUUUCACCCCUUCUCCUGCCCUCUUUCUGCUAUGUUUCUGCUUAUU